UGGGGAAUAUUGCACAAUGGGGGAAACCCUGAUGCAGCGACGCCGCGUGAGCGAAGAAGGCUUUCGAGUCGUAAAGCUCUGUCCCAUGAGAAGAUAAUGACGGUAUCAUAGGAGGAAGCCCUGGCUAAAUACGUGCCAGCAGCCGCGGUAAUACGUAUGGGGCGAGCGUUGUCCGGAAUUAUUGGGCGUAAAGGGUACGUAGGUGGUUUUUUAAGUCAGGUGUCAAAGCGUGGAGCUUAACUCCAUUAAGCACUUGAAACUGAAAGACUUGAGUGAAGGAGAGGAAAGUGGAAUUCCUAGUGUAGCGGUGAAAUGCGUAGAUAUUAGGAGGAAUACCGGUGGCGAAGGCGACUUUCUGGACUUUUACUGACGCUCAGGUACGAAAGCGUGGGGAGCAAACAGG
rnacentral:rRNA from 1 species